rnacentral:misc_RNA from 1 species
GAAAAUCAAACACCUAAAAGGAUUUGGACUUUUUGGAGUAUGUUAGUUCCACAUGGGAAAGAUUGAAUAACAUCAUGCUUUCAUGUCAUAGUUUAUUUGUGAUUUUUGCGUCUUUUCUGUACUUGCGGAAUUCCCAAUACCCAUGCUUUGCACAGCCAAGCUUUGAUUAGGUGCUUAGAUCAAUACUUCUCGAACAUCUUUGAUGUAACAUUUGUUUAACAUAGCUUUAUGCCUGCUUUUGAUUUGCUCUU